GUUGUAUAUUAUGAUUUAUAUAAUCGUCGAAAGUAUUUCUAUGCUUUUCCCAAUCUGGAUCAAAACGAAAAAGCGGUGCUGUUUGAAUUGUUUUCACUAUGUAGAGGUAUUUACAAAUGCAGCCAAUUCUUUAGUUGUUUUCGGCAAUGCCCCAUGCGCUAAAAAAUAAUUAAACGCAGCAUUACCCACGACAGCUGAUUUUUGAACAUCUUUUGCUGUUGCUUUUUUACGCUUAGGUUGAUGUUUUAAUUGCGGCAUAAUUAGAUCCUUAAAAAAUUACUACUAUUACUAACCU
rnacentral:misc_RNA from 1 species